rnacentral:rRNA from 1 species
GAAGUAAUGGUGUGUGAUGCCUGCCCAGUGGUUGGAUCGGAACUCGAAUGAUGAAAGUUAUUUGAAUAAGGACAACUCAACGGCCGCGGUAUCUCUGACCGUGAUAAUGUAGCAUAAUAACUAGCCAAUUAAUUGUUGGCACGUAUGAAAGGCUUCACGAGUGUCCCGCUGUCUCAAGAUAUAACCCAGUGAAAUUAAAUUUGUAGUGAAGAUGCUACAUACAAGUUGUAAGACGAGGAGACCCUAUUGAACUUUACUGGACGUUUGCAUUAUACCGAAACAGGCCCCCAACCCCUAUCGGAAUUUACUAUUCCUUAGAGGGGGACAGUAUAUUUAUACAUGUGUGGAUAUAUCUGCAGGGAGUGUGGCAUGGGUGCAAGAGUGACAUAAUUGGAAACGCACACCGCCUUUGGCGGGGUGUUAUGCACUUUCACUAAAGUUUAUCGGUUGGAUGAAUUUAUGAAUGCGGACCUACCACUAUGAAACCCGACCAAUUGCAUUCAAGAGGCACACCCGGGGUGGUGCGGUACAAAGUGUGAGUGAGACAGUUUGACUGGGAGGGUCGCCUUCAAUAGAGUAUCGAAGGUGAGCAGAUGGUGUGGAGGAGGUCCACAAAUAGAAACUACCAAUCGAAGAUUGGUUCAAUAUAGCUUGAUGGUUUCUGGGGCACCUCGGAGUUAAUAUAACUGAGCCUGACAGUGAGGAGUACGUACCGAACUGACACCACAGGUGGUGGGUUAUAGUGACCCGUUGGUUCAGAGUGGAUAGGCCAACGAACAACGAAUAAAAGUUACCAUAGGGAUAACAGCGUAAUAUAGUUUGAGAGUUAUUAUCGAUGACGAUGUUUGCGACCUCGGUGUUGAAUUGCGGUAA